rnacentral:rRNA from 1 species
GAUGAACGCUGGCGGCGUGCUUAACACAUGCAAGUCGAACGAAGCACCUCUCCCGAAGAUUGACACAGCUUGCUGUAGAUUGAUUCAUUUGAGGUGACUGAGUGGCGGACGGGUGAGUAACGCGUGGGUAACCUGCCUCAUAGAGGGGGACAACAGUUGGCAACGACUGCUAAUACCGCAUAGUAAGACGAAUUCGCAUGUUUUCUUCUUGAAAGAUUUGUCGCUAUGAGAUGGACCCGCGUCUGAUUAGCUAGUUGGUAAGGUAACGGCUUACCAAGGCGAGGACAGGCAGCCGGGUUGUGAGAGAGGAUCGACACAUCGGGACGGAGACACGGUCCAAACUCCUAGGGGAGGCAGCAGUGGGGGAUAUUGCAAAAUGGGGGAAACCCUGAUGCAGCGACGCCGCGUGAGUGAAGAAGUAGGUAGGUAUGUAAAGCUCUAUCAGCAGGGAAGAUAAUGACGGUACCUGAAGAAGAAGCCCCGGCUAACUACGUG